rnacentral:rRNA from 1 species
AGUGAACGCUGGCGGUAGGCCUAGCACAUGCAAGUCGAACGGCAGCACAGUAAGAGCUUGCUCUUACGGGUGGCGAGUGGCGGACGGGUGAGGAAUACAUCGGAAUCUACUUUUUCGUGGGGGAUAACGUAGGGAAACUUACGCUAAUACCGCAUACGACCUACGGGUGAAAGCAGGGGAUCUUCGGACCUUGCGCGAUUGAAUGAGCCGAUGUCGGAUUAGCUAGUUGGCGGGGUAAAGGCCCACCAAGGCGACGAUCCGUAGCUGGUCUGAGAGGAUGAUCAGCCCCACUGGAACUGAGACACGGUCCAGACUCCUACGGGAGGCAGCAGUGGGGAAUAUUGGACAAUGGGCGCAAGCCUGAUCCAGCCAUACCGCGUGGGUGAAGAAGGCCUUCGGGUUGUAAAGCCCUUUUGUUGGGAAAGAAAAGCAGCAGGUUAAUACCCCGCUGUUCUGACGGUACCCAAAGAAUAAGCACCGGCUAACUUCGUG